rnacentral:rRNA from 1 species
AUUGAACGCUGGCGGCAUGCCUUACACAUGCAAGUCGAACGGCAGCACGGGAGCAAUCCUGGUGGCGAGUGGCGAACGGGUGAGUAAUACAUCGGAACGUGUCCAGUUGUGGGGGAUAGCCCGGCGAAAGCCGGAUUAAUACCGCAUACGACCUACGGGUGAAAGCGGGGAUCGCAAGACCUCGCGCUAUUGGGGCGGCCGAUGUCAGAUUAGCUUGUUGGUGGGGUAAAAGCCUACCAAGGCGACGAUCUGUAGCUGGUCUGAGAGGACGACCAGCCACACUGGGACUGAGAAACGGCCCAGACUCCUACGGGAGGCAGCAGUGGGGAAUUUUGGACAAUGGGCGCAAGCCUGAUCCAGCCAUGCCGCGUGC